CGAGCACACAUCAGUGGGUCGACUUGACGACUCAGGCAACAACAGAGAAUACCGAUGAAGAAGAAGCAUCGCCGAUUUCAUGCUAUCUUAAAAUGUGAUCAUUGAUGUCAUCUGUUAGCAAAAUGGCUUUGAAACGUUCAUCUGUAUUCUACGCUAGUAAACCCAUAUAGAUUAUGAGUGUAUCUCUUUGUCAUCAAACAAUGAAUUGCGCAAUUGCAUUUGGUUCUCAUACUACUACAGCACAGCGUGACACUAUUUCUCAUCGACUGAGUCGACAGCGGCACAACAAAUUACAUUAUUUUUGAAACGCAAUUUAUAUAGUCUCUAUGAAACAUUUGUUAAAUAUUCACACCGAAAUGGGAAAAAUAUGUUAAGCGGAACUGGCAAACUAAAAAUGCAAUCAUGAAAUUGCAGUUUCAUUGCUUAUUGAGCGAGAAGGAGGAAAAUAGAUAGAUAUUGUGGCAAUGAAUCUAAAAAAACUUGUAAUGCAUUUCAUAUUUCUUUUAUCUAUUACAUACAUAUAUUAAAAAUUGUUAUCUUAA